rnacentral:rRNA from 1 species
GACAGAGGUGGCAAACGUUUGUUCGGAAUUACUGGGCGUAAAGCGAGUGUAGGCGGUUCGAUAAGUCGGAUGUGAAAGCCCCGGGCUCAACCCGGGAAGUGCACUCGAUACUGUCGAGCUAGAGUAUCGGAGAGGUUGGUGGAAUUCUCGGUGUAGAGGUGAAAUUCGUAGAUAUCGAGAGGAACACCGGUGGCGAAGGCGGCCAACUGGACGAAUACUGACGCUGAGACUCGAAAGCGUGGGGAGCAAACAGG